CUAAAUAUUUUCGUGUGUGUGUGUGUGUGUGUGUGUGUGUGUGUACAUUUUUACAAAUUAAAUAGUAAAAAAAUAAUAAUAAAAUAUAUAAAGUAUACAGAGUCUUUGCUGAGGAAAUACACUGGUCCCUUAAUAGUUUCAACAUGAAAUAUUCAAAAACAAAUAUAUGGUCCACUGUUUAUGUGACAGAGGCAGAAAUUUCUCUGUGUGCAUGUGGAGAAAUCUGCUGUUAAAUCAAAACAUAAACAGGUUUCAGGUGGCAUUAACGCACAUGAAAACAAUGCUCCACUCAUUCAGAGGUCAGAGGUCAUGUACAGUAACCACACUGACACCAAUAGGAGAAAAAAAGCAGGCAGGGAGGUGUCAAUUCCAGCUAAACAGAAGAGGAAUGUAUAAAUAAUGAAUGUGACAGUUUGAAUCAGUCACAGUUCAUUCAUCACACUGGUGCACCAACAGAUCCAGGAUCAGUGCAAAUCAUCAGCAGUUUGAUCCACAUAUGGAUUGAAGUGUAUUUGUGAAAAUGUUGGACUGUUCCUUUAUCAGUGUCUAACAGUAUGUGUAUGAGAGCCAUGUAAUGUCCAUGUGUGCAUGCUAAAGAGGCUGUGCUUGUCUGACCCCCCUCCUCCUUUCAGGGUGGAGCCUUCUGGAGAACGAUGGCUGACACCAGGUCUGAGGAAGUAUUCCUGUCAACUCACAAUCGACACAAACACAGUUCACACAAACCUCCAACUGUCUGACAACAACAGGAAGGUGGCACGCGCGGAGGUUCAGUCAUAUCCUGAUCAUCCAGAUAGAUUUGAUGCUCAUCCUCAGCUGCUGUGUAGAGAUGGUCUGACUGGUCGCUGUUACUGGGAGGUCGAGUGGAGAGGAAAGGUUUAUAUAUCAGUGAGUUACAGAAGCAUCAGAAGGAAAGGAGACAGUGAUGACUGUAUGUUUGGAUGGAAUGAUCAGUCCUGGAGUGUGAGGUGCUGCAAUGGUGGUGCUCAUUCUGUCUGGCACAAUAGUAAAAAACAAUCCAUCUCUUCGUCUGUCUCUAACAGAGUAGCAGUGUAUGUGGACUGUCCUGCUGGCACUCUGUCCUUCUACAGAGUCUCCUCUGACACUCUGAUCCACCUCCACACCUUCAACGCCACAUUCACUGAACCUCUUUAUCCUGGGUUUUCAAUAUGGUCUGAUCCUCCUGAUUCCUCAGUGAGUCUGUGCUGAGUGAAGUGUAAAGAGUGUCUCCUGUUAGAGAAACACUCUUGACUGUUGAACAGAUAGUUCAGUCUGUACAUGUCUGUCUCUUUCACCCAGAAACACGUUUUCAGAUUCAUGGAUUCAAUCAGUUGAUGUUUGAAACUGUUCUAAAUGAUUCCUUGUAAA